rnacentral:rRNA from 1 species
UACGUAGGGGGCAAGCGUUAUCCGGAUUUACUGGGUGUAAAGGGAGCGUAGGUGGCAAGGCAAGUCAGAUGUGAAAACCCGGGGCCCAACCCCGGGAGUGCAUUUGAAACUGUCUGACUAGAGUGCAGGAGAGGUAAGUGGAAUUCCUAGUGUAGCGGUGAAAUGCGUAGAUAUUAGGAGGAACACCAGUGGCGAAGGCGGCUGUCUGGUCUGCAACUGACGCUGAGGCUCGAAAGCAUGGGUAGCGAACAGG